CGGUAGCCGCGGUAAUACGAAGGGUGCAAGCGUUACUCGGAAUUACUGGGCGUAAAGCGUGCGUAGGUGGUGGUUUAAGUCCGUUGUGAAAGCCCUGGGCUCAACCUGGGAAUUGCAGUGGAUACUGGGUCACUAGAGUGUGGUAGAGGAUAGUGGAAUUUCCGGUGUAGCAGUGAAAUGCGUAGAGAUCGGAAGGAACAUCUGUGGCGAAGGCGACUAUCUGGGCCAACACUGACACUGAGGCACGAAAGCGUGGGGAGCAAACAGGAUUAGAUACCCCCGUAGUCCCUGUCUCUUAUAC
rnacentral:rRNA from 1 species